UACGUAGGUGGCAAGCGUUAUCCGGAAUUAUUGGGCGUAAAGCGCGCGCAGGUGGUUUCUUAAGUCUGAUGUGAAAGCCCACGGCUCAACCGUGGAGGGUCAUUGGAAACUGGGAGACUUGAGUGCAGAAGAGGAAAGUGGAAUUCCACGUGUAGCGGUGAAAUGCGUAGAGAUGUGGAGGAACACCAGUGGCGAAGGCGACUCUUUGGUCUGUAACUGACGCUGAGGCGCGAAAGCGUGGGGAGCAAACAGG
rnacentral:rRNA from 1 species